rnacentral:rRNA from 1 species
AGAUAGAAAGUUACUUCGGUACAUCGGUGGACAGGUGGUGCAUGGUUGUCGUCAGCUCGUGUCGUGAGAUGUUGGGUUAAGUCCCGCAACGAGCGCAACCCUCGUCCUAUGUCGCCAGCGGGUCAUGCCGGGACUCAUGGGAGACUGCCGGGGUCAACUCGGAGGAAGGUGGGAUGACGUCAAAUCAUCAUGCCCCUUAUGUCCAGGGCUACACACGUGCUACAAUGGCCGGUACAAAGGGCUGCAAGACCGUGAGGUUGAGCGAAUCCCAGAAAGCCGGUCUCAGUUCGGAUUGGAGUCUGCAACUCGACUCCAUGAAGUUGGAAUCGCUAGUAAUCGCGGAUCAGCAUGCCGCGGUCGAAUACGUUCCCGGGCCUU